rnacentral:lncRNA from 1 species
AUGGCUGCAGUGCUCACUACAGCCUUCACAAAAACAGAGGACUUUUAUCGCAGUGAGGACAACAAUUGCCCUUACUGCAGUGUUGCCACAGUGGCAACCAGAGACCAUCUGAAUAAGGUCCAUUUAAAAUAUGCAGUGUGCUUCAGCGACAAUGCAGUUGACACUUUUACCAUACCAUGCCACUGUGAGGUGAAGCUGGCACAAAGGAGCCAUUGGCACUGUCCCAAGUGCCAAUCCAUCAUACAGAGAAAACAUAAUUUUGAAAAUCAUCUGAAAACACAUGGGUUGAUUCUUCAGAGUAAGACACUCCUCCCAAGUAUGUAUUAACAUGAGAAAAAAACUAUAUUUGAAUUGAUACAGUUGCCUCAAAGGCCUAGCAACUUUGUUCAAUAUAAGUCUUAGAGAAGCAAGUGUCUGCACAGUGGAUUGUAUUUAUAUUGUUUGACUGUACUACAGUAUGCCAUGACAUAAUAUGCUUAGUUUAUUAAAAAAAAAUAAUGCCACAUAAAGCCUGUAAUAUGUUUCUUCUCCUUUUCUCCAGAUUUGUUAUCUGUGAAAGAGAAGCCAGCGAAAUCUGACAAACAGAAAUGUAAAUCCUUUCAGUGUCCUGCAUGUGAUGCAUCUUUUUCUAGUGCACCUACAUUAAGAAGACACGAGUUGGACAAACACAACAAAGAAACAGAACCCAUCUUCCUUGUGGAUGAAGAGAAAGGGAUUUUUGUUACAGCACAGGACAAGUCUGGACCAAGGACCAUAAUUCAUGUGUCCAAGUCCUUUACCAGGCAGGUUCUUGACUGCGAAG